GGUAUAUAAAUUCUAUUUCUUUUUUUUUAAUUAAAAAAAUCUCAAAACUCAUCCCACCCUUUAAUUCACUCAUUUAACAGUUAUCUCUUGAGCCAGAGCCUGUUUUGGGGGUGAAUAUGACACAGGUCCCUACUCUAAUAGAGCCUACAUUCUGAAGGAUCAUUUUAGUGAAAUGAAGGAAAUAAGGUGGGGUAGGGAUGGAGAGUUACAGAGUUGGGGGUUACUUUAGCUCAGCGGUCAGGGAAGGCCUCUCUGAGCUGACACCUGAAUGACAGGAGAGAGCCAUGCAAGCAAAGAACGUGGGGAGAGGUGUUCCAGGCAGACACUGGAACUGCAAGUUUAACCAGUGUGUAAGGAGCACUCCCUGUGGGUCCAGCACCCAUUGAGCCAGGGAACGUCAUCAUGCAAGGGUGCUCCCCUGAUCUGAGUCUAACAGGGAUCCCCCCAAAGACAGGCUUCCUUGCUCCUCCUUCUGGGUCCCCCCAGCCUUAACAAAGGGUGUCAAACAAGCUGGGGUGUCAGUGUGGGGGGACCCAGUUAGAGGGGGACCUUUCCGCCUGCCCCUCCCUCAGUCUGUCACCGCUUCCCUCUCGCCCUGGCUUGCGCUGCAGUCUCCAGCCUGCCCUCACUCCCAGAGGGUGUCCUGUCCCCUGGUUCCUGUCCCGGGCCCCGCUCCUCUCUUGGGAGACUGCCGGACCCUUUUGGGGUGGAGGGGAGCUGGGGAUGCCUCUGACCCCUCCUGGUUCUGCAUUCUGCCCCUUUCCCUGGUCCUUCAGGGAAGGAGAUUAUCCAGGGUGGACAGGGGGAAUCCCUUGAGGUAAAAAUGUGAGGAGCAUGUGAGUGCCGCCCUGGGGUCGCUCACCCCGGUGGCACGGGGCUGGCCCUCAGCAGCAUUCUUCCCCACCCCUGGGCAGCAGAGGGCUGGACAGCUGGCUGACAUCUUACUGUUUUGCUCAAGCCUUUCCCCUGCUUUGGAGCCUAGCAGCCCCUCCUAUUAUCACAGAACCAGGAAGGCCAGAGCAGGCACCCAUGGCAGGACAAGGUGAUCACGUGUGCCCUCUGGGUAACGCAGAGCACCGGGGCUGACAGGUCCGCAAUGUGCUCAAGGUCACACAGCCUGCUGGUGGGGCAGGCACCUGGCUCCCUGCUCUCCCUUGCCCGUUUGCACCUUCUGUGUGGAGCCGUUAAUAAUAACUAACACACCAUUGUAAAGCAAUUAUACUCCAAUAAAGAUGAAAAAAAAAAAAAAAAGUAACCUGGACAUUUCUCAGGCUUCCUGAGGAAGGGUUCCCUAGACUGUCUUGGGGGAGUGGGGCCCUUCCUCUCAUUGGCCUGAAUUAACGUCAGAACCCAGGGCCAGGGGAGGGACGUUCCACGACACCACGCUGGCCUUUUCCUGGAUUGGGAGUCAGAAACUGGGUCCCCACUCAGCAUUACUCGCUCUCUUCCCUGUCUGGGCCGGCUUCCUGAUCUCUUCCAGGUCCACUGCGGGGGGGGCUCAUGUUCUAGUGGCUACAGCUGUUAGCCAUUGCUUCCUAAGACCAAGGCUCUGAAGAAUCUGGCCUCAUGCUCCCUGGCUGCUCCCCUCUCCAGCUUGGCUGGGUCCGGGGCCCAGCAUCAGCCUUUUUACACACACACACACGUGCACACUCCUCCAUGGGAAAGCAGCAUGGCAUGGGGAACAGCAAGUCAGAAGCCCUGGGUUUGGGUCAAGGAUCUGUCUGCUACUUUCUUAGCCCUUCUCAGCCUCAGUUUACUCGUGGGUCACACGAGGACAAUUGCAAGGUCUACCUCACAGCGUUGUCACGUACAGGGGUAGGUCUUGGACCCUGUAAACAAGUGUUCGUUGUUUUCGUGUACCCUAUAAUGUUAGUUCUCCUUUCUUUUCCCACACCUUCCCACAGCUCUUGCCUAUCUCAGUUCACUGAUCCCAGGUCCCGUGCCCUCAGGACUGUGCUACAGGACUGGUUAACCACUGUCAUCCAGGUUUUUCAGGGCAAUAAUGAUAAUGUAUUAAUUCUUCAAGAGAGCAUUUUUGUACCUGGGGUGUCGGUGCUUUACCGCCAAGUGGUGAGUGAGGUUGUGGCAGUGUCAGGCCCAUGUAGCAGCUCAGUGGGGGGAACACUUGAGGGAGAUGGGGACCCUCUUGCUAUCCCUGAAGUCAGGCCACCCAGGAGGCUGCCAAGUCGAUCUUGUGCAGGGAAAGGAAGGGGAAAGAGAGAGCUAUUCUGAGAGGCCUGUCGAUUGUAUCAACCUGCAGAGGUGUGGGCAUCACCUCUGUGCCAGUACCAAUGAGACAGGCCACCAGGUAGCAGGAAGCAGAAGCGCCGUGAAGCUCGGUGAGCAGCCCAGGCUGUCGGUGCUGGAGGCCGGCAGAGCAGGGAUGCUUGGGGAGCGGGAAGUGGGUGCUGGGAGGGACCUGAACAGCCCUCUCCACAACACGAGCCUCUUGUUCUCCUUCCAGUGGCUGGGGUGAAGUGAGUCUCCCCUGCCCCCUCACACACAGCUCUGAGCUGGGAACAGACAGGGGUCAUGAUUGGUAAUCUCCAAUCAGCAGAUCAGCCUGGAAACAAGAAAAUGAGAAAAUAAAGAACUGCUGCUACCAGCAGAGCCCUUCUCAUAAAGGAUUUCAUCAAAGAUGGGGCGAGAUGAAAAGCUGAGAGCCAACAGGGUCAGAGGCAAGAACCUCUGGGAAAAGACAGUCUGGGGGGCCUCUUGGGGCCUCUCCCUUUUCCUCGGUGAGCUGGAAACUCAGGUCUUCUUGUCACAGAAAUACCAACACUCCCACCUCCACAGCUCCAGGUCCGGCAGCCAGACGGAGGCACCUGGGGCUGUCUACCUUCUCAUAAUCUGAGACACUUUCCUCUACAACCUCUCCCUUCCAGAAGCUGCCUGCUGCCCACUCUCCUUCCCCCCACGUUAACCUUUCAGACUGGCCCCGGAAAAUACGAGGCUUCCUUCCUUUCUCCAAGAGUCUGCUUACUGGGCGGAGUGGACCCGAGAGACCGGACAGAGCCUUAGGCCUCCACCCAUGUGUUCACUCAUCCAUUCACUCCCUCAGCCUGCUGCUGUGGGCUCCUCUGGGGAAGGUCACCACUCAGACACAGGCUCUCAGUGGGGCCUCCCUUCUGGACACUUGCCAGGCACAGAGUCCAACAGCUCUGCCCAUAGAGGGGUCACCAGUUUCCCCAAAUACCUCGGCUGUGGGCUUUGGUUCGGGCAGCUCAGGCCUGGUGCCUGCAGAGGGCCUUGGCGUGUUCCGUUCCUGUGUGGGGAGGGCAGUGCAGCCCGGCUCAGCAGCUUUCCCCGGCCCCCCUCCAGGCUCACGCAUGUGGCACGGCUCCCUGGAGGCGCUCAAAGCCAUUCCCCUCACACCUUCUGUGAGAGAGAUGGAUAUAUUUUUGCAUAUAAUUGUUUAUAAGCGAACAAUCUAAAGUUUAAGUAAAUGAUACAAAUUCACUUCUAAGUCCAAAAUUAGCAGUUACGCUUUGUGAAGUGUCCAUUACAUAGUUCUCACAGACACCCUGUGUGGUAGGGAUUGUUAUCUGGGCAGACUCAAGACAUCUUGCCCACGACCCGUAGCUAACAAGUGACAGAGCUUCUGCCACAGCUCCCUUUGCCCUUGGACCAGAGGCGGGGGGGAAGCGUCUCGGCUUCCCCGGGGGCCACCCAGUGAGUGGAGGACGGGGUGGGGGGGGUCUUCUUUCGAAGGGCUCCGGCCCCCCUCCACUGACCACACCCUCCGCU